GCUGCUUUAUGAAGGGCCGUGUGCCCUGUCUGAGUUGGGAGAAGCUGAGCCCGGGAGUAGAAAGCAGGUUGUUGUCCCUAACUCUGAAGCAUGUUGCAGUAGUUAAGUAUCUAGAUUAAUCAGUGGACUGGCAAACGGUGGUUUCAGCGGAGGAAAAGUCUGCAUGGAUUCUAACUGAAGAUUACUACAAGCCAGUGGAGGGAAGAUGUUGCUUUUUGACUCAGUAGACUGUAUAGAUUCAGUGCGGACUCAGGAUGAGAGAAGAAAUGGAGCAUCAUAGAUCACGCUUAUUCCGGAACAUCUUACUUUGGCAAUAUUGAGCUGCACCUGGAGUCACUAUUAGUGAUCAAGGAACAUGAAGGAGUUUCUAAAAAUGUGGGUGUGUGUUCGAGCUCAAAACCUUCUCCUUACAGAUAUCUAUGAGGGUUCUCAAGGAUGUCAGCUGUCCAGGCUUCCAAGUACUCAAGAGUAUCUAGACUGGGAGUGGAUUAUUUCCUUGUUGGUAGAGCAAUGAGUUGACACAAACACAGGAUGAUGUAUCCUAAUCUAAUUGUUUUAUAAUUGUAUCCGCUUCAAUGAGAAUAUCGGAUGUCAAAUCUAAAAUGUAGCUCCUUACUUACAGACAUGGUUCUCUAAAACUCCACCAAAACCCCUGGGUUUACCCUUGGUUGAAUUCCAAUCUCAACAAGACACUCACUAAUUUGAUCAAUAGCAGUAUAGGAGUUGGAUGAAAUGGAAACAUAGAGCUUGCUCUGUUUUUUAUUUUAUAGACAUGACAGCCCGUGCUUCCUCACUAGCUCUCCUAAUGACUUCACAUGCAUAUCAAACAGGUGACAGAAUAGAACUGUGCAGUGCUGCACCUGAAAGAAAGCACUGGGGCAGAUGGGUAAAUCACCCAGUACUGCCCUCUGAGUCCUCUGAAAGAGAAAAGAACAGAGCCACUCAAGCACGAAUUUGCCAUUUCUGUGGACUGUAUCAACACCACUUUGUCAUCAAUGGCAUAAAAGGCAUCUGAUAGUCCUAAAAAAAAUCCACAGUGAGAACACUUGAGAAUUAUCCCUGGAGGAGAAUAGCCCUGUGAGACCAACACAGCUGAUGAGCCAUAUCCAGGUUUAACACUGAGUUUGAGCAAGAUCAAGAUAAUAGGAGGACUCGAAGAUUUGCUGUACAUGGCGGAGAAAAAACAGAAAAUUCUCCAUAAUCUUUUCCUUAAAGGGAAUAUUGGUAGCCAGUGCUGGGAUGUAAUUAAGAUUUUUCAGUGUCAAAUGAUGGUUUCCUGUGCUACAGCUCCGUGUAUUGGCGAUACUGAUGAUACUCAACUCCGUCUCCUUUUCAUUAGACCCAGAGGGAACCAUCUUUCUCAUCCCAAAUUCUGAUGGAACUGAAUAUCACAAUGAAAGCCAGCUAUUUUAAGCUCAUUGAGGAUUUACUAGCCUCAUCCUUCUUCCUGAAUUAACAGGCAGUGGCAGUGGCCAAAAUUGCCUUCUGUCAUGAUGGUCUAGCCAGAAGAUUGCAUAAUUUCCUAUUAGAUGAUGACCUUGCCACAGAAAUCCAUGGAUUUUUCUAUUCAAGGCCCAGCUUCUGCCUAUCACUUUAACUGGGGCUAUCUUUGAAGGUAUUCAGAAGCAGCAAGUACAGUAGAAUGCAGCUACCACCCUUUUGACUACCUCAUCAGUCACAGCAUAUUGCAUCUGUGCAUGGCAUUCUGCACAGGCUACCAAUAUGCUUGCAGGUGACAUUCUGUGUGUUGGAAUACUGUAGGGUUACCAUUCGUCCGGAUUU